rnacentral:rRNA from 1 species
GACGAACGCUGGCGGCGUGCCUAAUACAUGCAAGUCGAACGCUCUUUUCUUAUCGAACUUCGGUUCACCAAGAAAAGGGAGUGGCGAACAAGUGAGUAACACGUGGGUAACCUACCCAUCAACAAGGGAUAACUAUUGGAAACGAUAGCUAAUACCGCAUAACAGCAUUUAACCCAUGUUAGAUGCUUGAAAGGAGCAAUUGCUUCACUAGUAGAUGGACCUGCGUUGUAUUAGCUAGUUGUGAGUAACGCUCACCAAGGCACGAUACAUAGCCGACCUGAGAGGUNAUCGGCANACUGGGACUGAGACACGCCCAGACUCCUACGGGAGCAGUCAGUAGGG